GUCUUGAAGUUGAUAAGGUGGUCACUGAGAACUUUGGGGGCUGCAGGCACAGGUGACCACCAGAGACCCCUGAUGGAGCCCCUCAGAGACCUUAUAAGGGUUUGUGUAGAUGGGAACAGGUGUUGGGAGUGUCCUGAAUGUGCAACAGGAAUGCAGGGAAGGAAAAUGAGCCCUCCUGUAAUGCUGACCCCUCCCAUCAGCUGCAGUGGAGACCCCUCCGUGUGCCCUUUGGGAGCGGAUUGCCAGGACCCCCGUGGGGCUGGGAUCAUGGCAGGGUGUUGUAAGCAAGGAAUGCCUGGCUUCUAAAAGUCACCAGCUGAGUCUUAGAGGCUCCUUUGAAGAGCUGAGUUCAGGCAGCAGAAUUGCCCCCCAGGAGGGACUCUGUGCCUGCUCUCCCGUGGCUCCAAGGGAUCUCUGGCCCUUCACGCCGGCACCGAGAUUUUCUCGGGAAGGGCCUCAGAUCUCCGGACCAGUCUGGGACACAGGCAAGAUCCCCCUGCAUUUUGGGACCAAAUUGGCCCCUGGAGGGACAGUGCUGUUGGUGCCCCCCGGGUUGGGGCACCCCGAGGACUCCAGCGCGCACCGAAAGGAUUAUUCGGGGAGAUCCUCGGGGUGCCCGGCCCUGGGGAGCUCAAAGCAAGGUCCCUGCCAUGGAUUCAGGCAUUGCUGAGAGUAUCCCAGGGGUCCCUGUCCCUGCUAGACAGGGAGCUCUCUAAUGGGCUGUAAUUGGGUUCUAAAAGUGGUGCUCCAAGUGCCAAAGAAGUGUGGGAUUGGGAUUAAGAAAUGAGCAGUGAGGGUGCAAUUGGCUGUUUUCUCUGGAAUGUGACUGUGAGAGCUGCAGGAGGGCCAGGUGUGUGUUCCAGUCCCCAGCAUUUGGUUUGCACAUGUCCUGGUCAGACACAAGUACAAUUUCCUCAGUCCUGAACACAGCAGAAUGAGAAUUAUGGACUGGCAGUGUUAAGGUGAUUGGUGUGACAGGGGUCAAACUGGGAAAACAUUGGGGAAUUCCUCAGUUUGUGUUUUUGCCAAACUCACCCAAACCUCUGCUAGGAAGUGAUGGGCUGGAAAAGUUGAGGCAGAAAUGGAAUUGAAAACUGGGGCUCUUGACGCUGUAAUUGCUGAAACUAAAUGUGUCCAAGCAGCAGCUCUUGUUGUGCAGGGAAUAACUCCUGUCAGCAGCAAGGCCCCCACUGAAGUGGCAGCUGCAGUUGUUCCUGUGGUGUGGGCCAGUGGAGCUGCAGGAGAGUGGAAGAGGGCAGAACCUGUAGGUGUUACCCCUGAUGUGGGAUCUCUCCAGGUAAGGCCAAGACAGUAUCCUUUAAAAUCAGAAUGCCAGACUGGAUUGGUUGCAGGAACAGCUGAAUUUGCUCCUCCUGGUUUGCUUGUAGGAUGUGAAUGCCAGAAUCUGCCAAGAAAACCAAUGGCCAAGGGGAUUGAUUAGUGCAGGACCUGAGAGAACCCCUGAGAAAAUGGGACAAGCGGGCAGGAAGAAGAGAAGCCCCGUGACUCCUCCCUGAGCCCCAGACAGCCCAUGAACUGCCUUGCUGGGAGUGGUGGGACGGGCUGGACUCUGGAUUGCUCCUUCUGGAUGUGUGGCUCUCCCCUCAGGAACUGCAGGAACUCCUGGUGCCGCCUGGGCCGAUGGAUUGGACGCCCCAGCCCCUCCGUUCCUGCCCGGCCACUGGGGCCGUGUCCAGUGGUGGCACUGCCAGCCCUGCAGUGGGAUGGAGCCUGGAAAGUGCACAGAGCUGAGCCCAGGGAUUGAAAGGGACCAAGCAAGGGAGGUGAAGAAAGAAGGAAGAAGGGAAGUGAGGCAGCAGGCAAGCAGCACCAAGUUGCUGUGUAAGCAGUGGGAUGUUCCCUAGAAAGUGCAUGGAGCUGAGCCAAGGAACUUAAAGGGACUGAGCAAGCAAAGUCAAGAAAGAAUGAAGAAGGGAACUGAGGCAGCAGCCAAGCAGCACCAAGCUCCUCUACAACCAGAGUUGAUGUGACUGACUUCUUUUUGAAAUGCAGCAGUGCUCUCAAGGAUAUUUCCCCCGCACUCCUGGGCUUGUGCAGGGCUGUUGAGUCCGUGUGUGCCACUGUUCUUGUCCCAGGGGGACCGAGUGACAUUUGGAACCAAACCUGGGGACUUGAACUCUAGGAAUGUUUCUGUGUCUUUGAAUUUUAAAUUGCACAUGAAGCAGAAAUAUGUUUGUGUUUUCCAGGUUAUAUUGUCAUGAAAAUAGAAAUGCAUCAUUGGAUCUUACUCCUCUGAGGGCAAACCACCAGACUGAUCAUUUCUUAGUCCAUCAGACCCAGUGCCAGGAACUCAGAGGGGUGUUUGUGUGCAAAUGUGCUGAGUGGUGGUGGCCCCCGUGAGACUGUGACCAGCUGGAAAUGUGUGUGUGUGUGUGUGCAGAGCUGGGCUGGAUCCCUUGGGAUUUGGCUCCCAGAUCCCCCCCAGCCUUCAGGAAAACCAGAGGCCACCGAACCCUGAGGGAAGGGAGUCCCAUUUGCAGAAGGGUUUGUAGAUUGGGGAAAAGCUCUCCAGAACAAAGCCUGUGUUCCAAACCCCUUCAGGCCAAAGUCAAGGAGCACAAACCCUGGAGUCAUCAAGUUACGAAGUUUGGUUCAAACCAUUUCCUAAUAAGUCAGUUUUAAUGAAGUGUUAAAAGGAGAACUUAAAUAAGGGUAAUUUCUGAUGGAGAAUAAUGGGAAGAAGUGGUUUAAGUUCCCUAAACAUGUUUUAUAUCAGUCCAUGGUUAUUUAAUUGAGCAUUGUUUGGAAUUUUUCUUUUUGCAUUCGUUCCUGGUGUGCUUUUCUCUAUCUAAGGGAUGUUUGGAGGUCUUUUUGAUUGCUUGAAGGUUUUUAAUGUCAGUGCUGGAUUGGGGUGGACAGUCAUUGUAACAUGAUUUAGAGUUGGAUGCAUUUUA